GACGGAGGAUGCAAGCGUUAUCCGGAAUGAUUGGGCGUAAAGCGUCUGUAGGUGGUUUAGUAAGUCUACUGUUAAAGAUCAGGGCUUAACCCUGAGUCGGCAGUAGAAACUACUGAGCUUGAGUACGGUAGGGGCAGAGGGAAUUCCCGGUGUAGCGGUGAAAUGCGUAGAGAUCGGGAAGAACACCAAUGGCGAAAGCACUCUGCUGGGCCGAAACUGACACUCAGAGACGAAAGCUAGGGGAGCGAAUGGG
rnacentral:rRNA from 1 species